AGUGAACGCUGGCGGUAGGUCUAACACAUGCAAGUCGAACGGCAGCACAGUAAGAGCUUGCUCUUACGGGUGGCGAGUGGCGGACGGGUGAGGAAUACAUCGGAAUCUACUUUUUCGUGGGGGAUAACGUAGGGAAACUUACGCUUAUACCGCAUACGACCUACGGGUGAAAGCAGGGGAUCUUCGGACCUUGCGCGAUUGACUGAGCCGAUGUCGGAUUAGCUAGUUGGCGGGGUAAAGGCCCACCAAGGCGACGAUCCGUAGCUGGUCUGAGAGGAUGAUCAGCCACACUGGAACUGAGACACGGUCCAGACUCCUACGGGAGGCAGCAGUGGGGAAUAUUGGACAAUGGGCGCAAGCCUGAUCCAGCCAUACCGCGUGGGUGAAGAAGGCCUUCGGGUUGUAAAGCCCUUUUGUUGGGAAAGAAAAGCAGCAGGUUAAUACCCCGCUGUUCUGACGGUACCCAAAGAAUAAGCACCGGCUAACUUCGGG
rnacentral:rRNA from 1 species